UUUUAUUUGAGAGUUUGAUCCUGGCUCAGGAUGAACGCUGGCGGCGUGCCUAACACAUGCAAGUUGAGCGAUUUACUUCGGUAAAGAGCGGCGGACGGGUGAGUAACGCGUGGGUAACCUACCCUGUACACACGGAUAACAUACCGAAAGGUAUGCUAAUACGGGAUAAUAUAUUUGAGAGGCAUCUCUUGAAUAUCAAAGGUGAGCCAGUACAGGAUGGACCCGCGUCUGAUUAGCUAGUUGGUAAGGUAACGGCUUACCAAGGCGACGAUCAGUAGCCGACCUGAGAGGGUGAUCGGCCACAUUGGAACUGAGACACGGUCCAAACUCCUACGGGAGGCAGCAGUGGGGAAUAUUGCACAAUGGGCGAAAGCCUGAUG
rnacentral:rRNA from 1 species